rnacentral:rRNA from 1 species
GACGUAGGGCGCGAGCGUUGUCCGGAUUUAUUGGGCGUAAAGAGCUCGUAGGCGGUUUGUCGCGUCGAAUAUGAAAUCCCGGGGCUCAACCCCGGGUCUGCAUCGUACGGGCAGACUAGAGUUCGGUAGGGGAGUCUGGAAUUCCUGGUGUAGCGGUGAAAUGCGUAGAUAUCGGGAGGAACACCUGUGGCGAAGGCGGCCCCCUGGUUGGAUACUGACGCUGAUACGCGAAAGCGUGGGGAGCAAACAGG